UACGUAGGGUGCAAGCGUUGUCCGGAAUUAUUGUGCGUAAAGAGCUCGUAGGCGGUCUGUCGCGUCUGCUGUGAAAACUCGGGGCUUAACCCCGGGCCUGCAGUGGGUACGGGCAGACUAGAGUGCGGUAGGGGAGACUGGAAUUCCUGGUGUAGCGGUGAAAUGCGCAGAUACCAGGAGGAACACCGGUGGCGAAGGCGGGUCUCUGGGCCGUAACUGACGCUGAGGAGCGAAAGCGUGGGGAGCGAACAGG
rnacentral:rRNA from 1 species